rnacentral:rRNA from 1 species
UACAGAGGGGGCAAGCGUUAUUCGGAAUUAUUGGGCGUAAAGGGCGCGUAGGCGGUUUUUUAAGUCGGAUGUGUAAUCCCCGGGCUUAACCUGGGAACUGCAUCCGAGACUGGAAGACUUGAGUACGGAGAGGGUAGUGGAAUUCCUAGUGUAGGAGUGAAAUCCGUAGAUAUUAGGAGGAACACCGGUGGCGAAGGCGGCUGCCUGGACCGAUACUGACGCUGAGACGCGAAAGCGUGGGG